GGUAUGAUAGCCACUUUAAAAAACUAAAUUUUUACAGCCAAAAUUUAACUCGAUUGCUUACUUGCCUAGGUUUUUACCUACUGUUUGGCAAAGAGAUGAACUAAUUACAAUCACAUGGCACUAUGUGUGUAUAUAUAUAUAAAAUCACAUGGUCCCCUGGAAGUUUCCAUACCCUCUCAAAAGCAUGACCACCUGCUCACUUAUGACUUAAAUCUGUAUUAGAAGGAAUAAAACUUUCCUUCUAUCAUUAGAGCUAUGGAUUUAGAUUAUAAAUCCACCAUUGGAAGAAAGGACAUUAAAAUUGAUUCACGUAGAGUUAAAUGCAUGCCAACCUUCCUUCAGUUUGCUGUGAUCUAAACAAAAUUCUGCUUUAGCUAUGUGGUGACUAAACAGUAAAAGUUGGAGAGAGAAAGUAGUUACUAAAAAAGAGAGGGAAAGAGACUAUGAAAUUUCAAAGAAAACCCAGAGAAAGAAGCAGGGAGUAGUGAAGAAAAAUCUGAGACUACUUCCCUUUUUCCCUAAGGGACAACAUGUUUAGAUGUUUAAUCUUUCAUUCUUAAAGAACAUAAUCAAGUGUUAAAAAUAUUGUUUUCCUAGAUUAUUUUUAUGUCUAUUUUUUUCAUAUUGAGGCAAUCAAGUUUUUCCCAUUUAUCUCCACACUAAUAAUUUGCAGUAGUGAAAGGGCUGAAGAUCAUACUCUGGUUUAGUCAUAAACCACUAGGAAAAUCAGCCCAGCAAACCUGAAUUCACUGGUAUCACUCAUUGUAAGAGUACAAUUAAAACCCAAGUUAGACAUCUAUGAAUAAGCUGGCCCUCCGUAAUUUAUUCACUGUUUUGUUAAAACCCCAUUUAGGAUGAAAUUGAUUUAGACGGUAAUCACAACUAAUUGCUAAGUCUUUGGGUUUCAGUUUUUACUGUUGUCCUGAAGAGUCAUCAGCUUUGAACUUAUUCUAAUUCAUUUUCCUAGCAGGGUUAGUUUAUAUAGACAAGGUUAGGUCCACACUCGCAACCAAUCUGACUGAAUUAAUUUGAAGUUAGGGAAAUGUCCGUGGAGUGUAAACAUGAGAAUUUCACAGAUUCACUGUUCAGUUUUGAAGCUUUACAAGAUUGAAGAUCCAUAGCCUGAGGAAUUUGUGAUUAUACUCAAGUACAAAUUUGAUUAUUUUAUGCCAUUUAUGUAGGAAGAAGGAUUGAUAUUCCUUUUUUGUUAAUAGUUUUAUUUUCUUUUUAAUUUUUUUAUUAAAAUUCUGGUUGUAAUGCUGUAGCAAUAUCUGCUAUACAGCAAUGUGACCAAGUCAUAUAUAUAUUCCUUUUCUCAUAUUUUCUUCCAUCAUGUUCUGUCCCGAAAGAUUGGAUAUAGUUCCCUGUGCUCUACGGUAGGGCCUCAUUGCUUAUCCAUUCUAAAUGUAAUAGUUUGCAUCUACUGACCCCAAACUCCUGUGCGUUCCACUCCCCCACCUCCCUCUGUUUUCUAUGUCCAUGAGUCUGUUUCCGUUUGGUAGAUAGGUUCAUACGUGCCAUAUUUUAGAUUCCACAAAUAAGUGAUAUAGUAUGAUACUUGUCUUUUUCUUUCUGACUUAACUUCACUUAGUAUGAGAAUCUAGUUAGAGCCCUGUUGCCACAAAUGGCAUUAUUUUGUCAUUUUUAUGGCUGGGUAGUAUUCCACUGUACAUAUGUACCACAUCUCCUUAAGGACUGAUGUUCUCAACUAACAAAUGAAUGUAUCAGUGAAGGUGUUUUAGGUAUUCCACUAACACAGCUUCACAUACAAAAAGAUGUAUUUGCUUACCUAACAGGAAUCUAUAAAAACAGAAAGCCAUAGAGUUGGUGGCUUCCUUGAGUCAAUGCCUUUAAAGAUUGACCACAUUUCCCCACAGUUCCAGUUUUGUCCUAUACUGAUCUUUCUUGUGGAUGAAGGAUGGUUACUAUCAGCAACUAGGAUUAUAUGUUUUCUUUUAUAUAUCAAAAGGCUGAGGAAGAAUGGUUCUAUCAAGCAUUUUAUUCAAGAAAGAGUUCUGUGAUUUAAGUUGAUUGAAUUGCCUAAGUCACAUGUCCACCCUUAAUACUGACUGUGGUUAGAGAAAUGAAUUUGCUGGUUAUAUUCCUUUGAAGCUCAUGGGCUCCAUGAAAGAAGAGGAGAAGUCUUAAUGUUCUUUUGGAAGGAGGAAGGGGUAAAUUUGUGCUAAGCACAUGACCAAAAUUACCCAAUGUAGCCUAUUGUCCAGCAUCCCAAAUUCAAUCAGGCUUUGCUUUUUAUUGCAUUUUUGGUUUCUACUUGGGAUUUUGUUUAUGUAUUUUUAAUUUUGUAGUCAAUGAGUAGUAACAUAAUAUUAGUAAAAUAUAUAUAGUAAAAAAUGUGGUAACAAAAUAGAGCAAUAAAUGAUAGGUACACAGAAAGAUAAAGUAGUGAAACAGAUUACUGCAAAUAUUAACACUGUGGGGGUUUUAGUAAAUCUAAUUUCCAACAUUCUUCUAUGUAUAUAUAUGCAUAUAAAAGAAUGACUAGCUAGCUAGAUAAAUAUAUAUAACAAAAAUAGACCAAGGAAGGGAGUUCCCAUCAUGGCACAGCAGAAGUAAAUCCAACUAAUAUCUAUGAGGAUGCAGGUUCAAUCCCUGGCUUUGCUCAGGAGCUGUGGUGUAGGUUGCAGACACAGCUUGGAUCCUGCGUUGAUGUGGCUGUGGUGUAGACCAGCAGCUGUAGCUCCGAUUCGACCCCUAGCCUGGGAACUUCCAUAUGCCAUG
rnacentral:lncRNA from 1 species